CGAACGCUGGCGGCGUGCUUUAUACAUGCAAGUCGAACGAUGAAGUUCCUUCGGGAAUGGAUUAGUGGCGAACGGGUGAGGAACACGUGAGAAACCUGCCUUUCAUUCUGGGAUAACACCGGGAAACCGGUGCUAAUACCGGAUACUCCAUCUUGGCGGCAUCGCCGAGCUGGGAAAAAAAUUUUGAUGAAAGAUGGGCUCGCGGCCUAUCAGCUUGUUGGUGAGGUAAUGGCUCACCAAGGCGUCGACGGGUAGCCGGCCUGAGAGGGUGACCGGCCACACUGGGACUGAGACACGGCCCAGACUCCUACGGGAGGCAGCAGUGGGGAAUAUUGCACAAUGGGCGCAAGCCUGAUGCAGCAACGCCGCGUGAGGGACGACGGCCUUCGGGUUGUAAACCGUCUUCUAGCAGGGAAGAAGCGAAAGUGACGGUACCUACAGAAAAACGCGCCGGCUAACUACGUGCCAGCAGCCGCGGUAAGUCUGAUGGCG
rnacentral:rRNA from 1 species